AGAGACAAAAACAUUUUUCAAUAUAAAAAUUAAUACAUUCAUGAAAACUAUCUAAUCCCACUGCCCUUUACAUAGCCAAUAAUAAGCCCAAAAAUUUUCUCUCAACUUCUAUCUUGGGCAGAUACCAAUGGCCCUCCAAUUCACCAAAGCGCUAAUACAAUCCAUUUUUAUAGAACAACUUAUAGUUGGGCACCAUGAUUCUACUCGACAAGAAUCCCAACUAAAUGUUCCCAAUUAAACAUUAUCUUGGACACAUAAUGUAUAGUACUUUUGUAGGCCAACAAAAUGCACAACAUAUGGCAUUUUGGGGGGGAAAUGCACAACAAAUGGCAUUUU
rnacentral:misc_RNA from 1 species